UCAAAAAAAAGAAGGAAGAAAGGUACAUUCUCAUAAUGCCUUAAAUUAGUUACUUGGGAUUUAUUUGACAAUGAUUAGGAAUAACUGUUUCAAAAGAUAUAUUUUUUCAUAUACCUUAGAAAACAAUAGAUAUUUGUUCAACUCUCUAAUUGUGGGUUUGCAUUUGAAAUGUGUAUUGUGAUUCAAAAGUUUUCUCUACCUAGAAGGGGAAUACAACACAUGGAAAUUAUUAUUGCUGGUGACACCAGAUAAUAUUUUGCCUAAACUCCUGAGGUGAGUGCUCUAUGAAGACCCCAUUCAACCCAGACCUUUGAAAUGGCUCACUUCCCAUUUAAACUCUAUUAAUCUUCUACCUCAUGGAGGCAACAGGUGGUUUAGAAAAGAGCCAAUAGAAAGAUAAUUUUUGUCCUUCAGGAUCAGUGCCAAUGGAAAAAAGUGACCUGAAAUACAGAUCUCAGGCCUGACAUGAUGAAAAUCUAGUGCCACAGCUGUUGUCUCUCAGAACUGUCACUCAUCAUGUUUUAAUUUCACAGUUUUGAUUUAAUCUUUUCUAAAUACAGCACUGGAUAAAUACAGAACAAGAUAACAAGAGUUCCCAGCAAAGGAUCCAGCUUGAAAUAACACGGUGCUAAGCAUGGAUUUUUCCACCGAAUGAGGAAAUUCUAAUUCUAAUUGUUAGUCUCUUUAUCAAUGACGCCAAGUGGCAAGGAACAUCACCAUCUUUGGAGACCUAGUGGUGGAGUUAAACUACUACAGGGAAACAACUUUACGUAUAGAGGAGUUGAGCUUCCUAGAGGAAAAGAAGGAAAAUCAUUCCUAAUGGAAGAUCAACUAUUCAAGAAAGAAAGAAGAGCAAUGAGAAAGGGAACUGCCACAGCCACCUCAACCUUCAGCAAACACCACCCUGACCAGUGAGUGGCAAUCAACAUUGAGGCAAGACCUUUCAGCAAAAAGAUUAUAAUUCUCUGAAGACUCAGAUGAUCAUUAGCAUUUCUAGCAACAAUGUAUUUUUAAAUUAAGAUAUUUGAUGUGAUUCACCAGUACAGCCAUAUGAAGAUGAUAUUUUGAUUUUAGGAAUGUUUCAUUACAAAUGCAAUUCCUUCAACAGAGGCUUUUUCACUCCUCAGAAGAAAAAGUGGACACUAUAUGCCCCAAUGCAGCCGCAUUCCUGCUGGUCCCCAAAAGUAUAGUCACAAAAUUAAACAGGAAUGUCUCUGACGGCACUUCACUGACAGCUGAAUCAAGGCCAAUUCUAUGCCUCUGAGGAAUGCAGAGCAUACUUCAGGCUCUCCUGUUGCACAACACCCAAGUGAGCACCCAAGUGGUGGCUCUGGACCAAGAAUUGGACUGUUACAGCUACUGCCUACCAACAUAGGGUGUUCUGAGAGACAGGUUACAGCUACUGCCUAUCAACACAGGGUGUUCUGAGAAACAGCAAAGACACUUCGUUUCUGAAAAUGGCGAUCUGAGAACUUUAGAAAUGAACUUGAGAGGAAAAGAUGAACCUUAAAAAAUUUCACUAGGAAGUUGAACAUCUAGACCAGCAGUGUCCAAUAAAACUUUCUGCACUGAUA